rnacentral:misc_RNA from 1 species
AAAAAAUAAUCGCUUAGGAUAGGCGUUCACACGAAUAACUUGCUUUUACCUAAAUCAUUUCUUUACAGAUUUGAGAUUAAGGAGCGUUCUUUAACAUUUUUAUAAGUUCAAUCAAGUCACAUCAUAGUGUCUUAGUUUUUUAAUUUAGAUAUGAAUGAUGUGCAAAUGUCACCAAACCCGUCAUGUUUUAGAACAUAAGUUUGGUGUACAUACUGCAAAGUAAUUUUGCCGAAUGACAAUAGAUACUUGAAGAACAUUAAUCAUUAAGUUGUUUGAUGUAAUAUGGUCAAGUAAUUAAGCGCAUACGGUGGAUGA